CCUACGGGUGGCAGCAGUGGGGAAUAUUGCACAAUGGGGGAAACCCUGAUGCAGCAACGCCGCGUGAGCGAUGAAGGCCUUCGGGGCGUAAAGCUCUGUCCUCAGGGACGAAUACGGCGGGUACCUCAGGAGGAAGUGCCGGCUACCUAGUUGCAAGAGGCCGGGUUAAUCGGUAGGGGGCAGGCGUGAUCCGGGAUGCCUGGGCGUAAGGGGUGCGAAGCGGGCCGUUAAAGUCGGAGGGGAAUGGCCAGGGUUAAACCGGAGGAAGCGUUUGAAACUGGAGGGCUUGAGUGCAGGAGAGGAGAGCGGAAUUCCCAGUGUAGCGGUGAAAUGCGUAGAUAUCAGGAGGAACACCAGUGGCGUAGACAGCUCUCUGGACUGUAACUGACGCUGAGACACGAAAGCGUGGGUAGCAAACAGGAUUAGAUACCCGUGUAGUC
rnacentral:rRNA from 1 species